rnacentral:rRNA from 1 species
ACUCAAAGGAAUUGACGGGGGCCCGCACAAGCGGUGGAACAUGUGGUUUAAUUCGACACUACGCGAGGAACCUUACCUAGGCUUGACAUGUAUGUGACCGUUGCAGAAAUGCAAUCUUUUGGGCUUCGGUCCAGACACAUACACAGGUGCUGCAUGGCUGUCGUCAGCUCGUGUCGUGAGAUGUUGGGUUAAGUCCUCUAACGAGCGCAACCCCUGCCGUCAGUUGCAAUUGCGUAAGCAAGCACUCUGAUGGGACUGCCUGGGAAACCAGGAGGAAGGUGGGGAUGACGUCAAGUCCUCAUGGUCCUUAUGUCUAGGGCUACACACGUGUUACAAUGGCUAGUACAAAGGGCUGCGAGCUUGUAAAAGUAAGCUAAUCCCAAAAAACUAGUCUAAGUUCGGAUUGAGGUCUGCAACUCGACCUCAUGAAGCUGAAAUCGCUAGUAAUCGCGCAUCAGAACGGCGCGGUGAAUACGUUCUCGGGCCUUGUACACACCGCCCGU